rnacentral:miRNA from 14 species
CUUCAAACGCAUGUAUCUUGACU